rnacentral:rRNA from 2 species
ACACGUGGGAAACCUGCCCAGAAGCGGGGGAUAACACCUGGAAACAGAUGCUAAUACCGCAUAACAACUUGGACCGCAUGGUCCGAGCUUGAAAGAUGGCUUCGGCUAUCACUUUUGGAUGGUCCCGCGGCGUAUUAGCUAGAUGGUGGGGUAACGGCUCACCAUGGCAAUGAUACGUAGCCGACCUGAGAGGGUAAUCGGCCACAUUGGGACUGAGACACGGCCCAAACUCCUACGGGAGGCAGCAGUAGGGAAUCUUCCACAAUGGACGAAAGUCUGAUGGAGCAACGCCGCGUGAGUGAAGAAGGGUUUCGGCUCGUAAAACUCUGUUGUUAAAGAAGAACAUAUCUGAGAGUAACUGUUCAGGUAUUGACGGUAUUUAACCAGAAAGCCACGGCUAACUACGUGCCAGCAGCCGCGGUAAUACGUAGGUGGCAAGCGUUGUCCGGAUUUAUUGGGCGUAAAGCGAGCGCAGGCGGUUUUUUAAGUCUGAUGUGAAAGCCUUCGGCUCAACCGAAGAAGUGCAUCGGAAACUGGGAAACUUGAGUGCAGAAGAGGACAGUGGAACUCCAUGUGUAGCGGUGAAAUGCGUAGAUAUAUGGAAGAACACCAGUGGCGAAGGCGGCUGUCUGGUCUGUAACUGACGCUGAGGCUCGAAAGUAUGGGUAGCAAACAGGAUUAGAUACCCUGGUAGUCCAUACCGUAAACGAUGAAUGCUAAGUGUUGGAGGGUUUCCGCCCUUCAGUGCUGCAGCUAACGCAUUAAGCAUUCCGCCUGGGGAGUACGGCCGCAAGGCUGAAACUCAAAGGAAUUGACGGGGGCCCGCACAAGCGGUGGAGCAUGUGGUUUAAUUCGAAGCUACGCGAAGAACCUUACCAGGUCUUGACAUACUAUGCAAAUCUAAGAGAUUAGACGUUCCCUUCGGGGACAUGGAUACAGGUGGUGCAUGGUUGUCGUCAGCUCGUGUCGUGAGAUGUUGGGUUAAGUCCCGCAACGAGCGCAACCCUUAUUAUCAGUUGCCAGCAUUAAGUUGGGCACUCUGGUGAGACUGCCGGUGACAAACCGGAGGAAGGUGGGGAUGACGUCAAAUCAUCAUGCCCCUUAUGACCUGGGCUACACACGUGCUACAAUGGAUGGUACAACGAGUUGCGAACUCGCGAGAGUAAGCUAAUCUCUUAAAGCCAUUCUCAGUUCGGAUUGUAGGCUGCAACUCGCCUACAUGAAGUCGGAAUCGCUAGUAAUCGCGGAUCAGCAUGCCGCGGUGAAUACGUUCCCGGGCCUUGUACACACCGCCCGUCACACCAUGAGAGUUUG